UUUCCGUAGGUGAACCUUCGGAAGGAUCAUUACCGUAACGCGGCGGUCCGGCAACCGCAAGGAAGUCGGCCGCCACACGCGUUUAUCACCCUUGACUUUGAGCACCUUUCGUUUCCUCGGCGGGUUCGCCCGCCAGCGAGGACCCCCACAAACCCUUUGUAAUAGCAAUAUUCGUCUGAAAAACAACCAAUAAUCAAAACUUUCAACAAUGGAUCUCUUGGUUCUGGCAUCGAUGAAGAACGCAGC
rnacentral:misc_RNA from 1 species